rnacentral:rRNA from 1 species
GACGAACGCUGGCGGCGUGCUUAAUACAUGCAAGUCAACUUGACUUUAGAUAGCAAUAUCGAAAAGUAGGGUGGCGCACGGGUGCGUAACGCGUAGGUAUCUGCCCUGAGGUCUGACAUAACCCGUCGAAAGGCGGGCUAACAUCAGAUGAUAUAUAAUCACGACAUCGUGGAAAUAUCAAAUCUUCGGAGCCUUGGGAUGAGCCUGCGUCUGAUUAGGUAGUUGGCGGAGUAAUAGCCCACCAAGCCUACGAUCAGUAGCUGGUCUGAGAGGAUGAUCAGCCACACUGGAACUGAGACACGGUCCAGACUCCUACGGGAGGCAGCAGUAAGGAAUAUUGCUCAAUGGGGGAAACCCUGAAGCAGCAACGCCGCGUGAAGGAUGAAAUACUUUUGUAUGUAAACUUCUGUAAGAUGGGAAAAAUAUUCUCCUCGGGAGAAUUGAUUGUACCAUCAGAGUAAGCCCCGG